rnacentral:rRNA from 2 species
GGCGAAUGGGUGAGUAAACGUGCUUAAUCUACCCUUUAGAUUGGAAUACCCAAUGGAAACAUUGGCUAAUGCCGGAUACGCAUGGAAUUGCAUGAUUCCGUUGUGAAAGGAGCCUUUAAAGCUCCGCUAGAGGAUGAGGGUGCGGAACAUUAGUUAGUUGGUAGGGUAAUGGCCUACCAAGACUAUGAUGUUUAGCCGGGUCGAGAGACUGAACGGCCACAUUGGGACUGAGAUACGGCCCAAACUCCUACGGGAGGCAGCAGUAGGGAAUAUUCCACAAUGAGCGAAAGCGUGAUGGAGCGACACAGCGUGCACGAUGAAGGUCUUCGGAUUGUAAAGUGCUGUUAUAGGGAAAGAACACCUGGUUGAGGAAAUGCUUCCAGGCUGACGGUACCCUGUCAGAAAGCGAUGGCUAACUAUGUGCCAGCAGCCGCGGUAAUACAUAGGUCGCAAGCGUUAUCCGGAAUUAUUGGGCGUAAAGCGUUCGUAGGCUGUUUAUUAAGUCUGGAGUCAAAUCCCAGGGCUCAACCCUGGCUCGCUUUGGAUACUGGUAAACUAGAGUUAGAUAGAGGUAAGCGGAAUUCCAUGUGAAGCGGUGAAAAAUGCGUAGAUAUAUGGAAGAACACCAAAGGCGAAAGGCAGCUUACUGGUGUUCUAUACUGACGCUGAGGGACGAAAGCGUGGGGAGCAAACAAGGAUUAGAUACCCUGGUAGUCCACGGCCGUAAACGAUGAUCAUAUAGUCGGUGGAGAGUUCACUGACGCAAGCUAACGCAUUAAAUGUAUCCGCCUGAGUAGUAUGCUCGCAAGAGUGAAACUUAAAGGAAUUGACGGGGACCCGCACAAGCGGUGGAGCAUGUGGUUUAAUAUUGAAGAUACGCGGAGAACCUUACCCACUCUAUGACAUCCCUCGCAAUGCUAUAGAGAUAUAGCGGAGGUUAACCGAGUGACAGAUGGUGCAUGGUUGUCGUCAGCUCGUGUCGUGAGAGUUUGGUUCCAAGUCCUGCAACGAGCGCAACCCCUAUCUUUAGUUACUAACGAGUCAUGUCGAGGACUCUAGAGAUACUGCCUGGGUAACUGGGAGGAAGGUGGGGAUGACGUCAAAUCAUCAUGCCUCUUACGAGUGGGGCAACACACGUGCUACAAUGGUCGGUACAAAGAGAAGCAAUAUGGCGACAUGGAGCAAAUCUCAAAAAGCCGAUCUCAGUUCGGAUUGGAGUCUGCAAUUCGACUCCAUGAAGUCGGAAUCGCUAGUAAUCGCAGAUCAGCUACGCUGCGGUGAAUACGUUCUCGGGUCUUGUACACACCGCCCGUCACACCAUGAGAGCUGGUAAUACCCAAAGUCGGUUAGCUAACCUCGGAGGCGACCGCCUAAGGUAGGACUGGUGACUGGGGUGAAGUCGUAACAAGGUAUCCCUA